CCCCCCCAUGUAAGAGAACAUCGGGGACGCCCCACACUUGGGGGUCUGCCCCACACCUGGAGGUCCCACCCCACACUUGUGGGUCUGCCCCAUAGAUCCAGAGCUUGCCCCAUAGCUAUGUACCCACCCCAUAAGCCCAUUAGGACCCCAUGUAACAGCCCAACAGUUACGGGACCCCCACUUGUGGGUCUGCCCCACACUUGGGGGUCCCACCCCACAUUUGUAGGUCUCGCCCCACACUUGUGGGUCUGCCCCAUAGAUCUGGAGCCCCUCCCCCCUCUAUAAAUCCCUUAGGACCCCAUGGAACAGCCCAACGGUUACAGGACCCCCCAUGUGUGGGUCUGCCCCACACCUGGAGGUCCCACCCCACACUUGUGGGUCUGCCCCAUAGAUCCGGAGCUUGCCCCAUAGCUAUGUACCCGCCCCAUAAGCCCAUUAGGACCCCAUGUAACAGCCCAACAGUUACGGGACCCCCACUUAUAGGUCCUGCCCCACACUUGGGGGUCCCGGCCCCACACUUGUGGGUCUGCCCCA
rnacentral:lncRNA from 1 species